rnacentral:lncRNA from 1 species
AUUGGAUUUAUACAUGAAAAGUUGUUUAGUCUUCUUCUACUUCUGCUUUCAGCUUCAGUUAUUCUACAUUAAACUGUGAUGGUAAAUAAAAUUAUGAUUAGAACUUCUGAUUUUACUAUAAAGUUUACUUAUCGAGAAGAUUUCUAAGUAAAGGCUAAAAUUUUUCUAUACGCCCUGUGCCACGAUGUCAAAAAUAGGUUAGGUUCAGAUUGAGAAAAUCACAAACUGGUUUAAGCAAAUUGGGAAGUUUUUUUUUUUUUUUUUUU